UAAUACGGAGGGUGCGAGCGUUAAUCGGACUUACUGGGCGUAAAGGGCGCGUAGGCGGUGGGGCAAGUCAGUUGUGAAAGUCCUGGGCUUAACCUGGGGAUGGCAAUUGAGACUGUUCUGCUGGAGUCGAAGAGAGGGGGGUGGAAUUCCCGGUGUAGCGGUGAAAUGCGUAGAGAUCGGGAGGAACACCGGUGGCGAAGGCGGCCCCCUGGUUUCAGACUGACGCUGAGGCGCGAAGGCGUGGGGAGCAAACAGGAUUAGAUACCCUGGUAGUCCACGCGGUAAACGAUGUCGACUAGCCGUGCCUUUCGGUUGUGAGGGGUGUGGUGCAGCUAACGCGGUAAGUCGACCGCCUGGGGAGUACGGCCGCAAGGUUA
rnacentral:rRNA from 1 species